rnacentral:rRNA from 1 species
UACGAAGGGGGCUAGCGUUGUUCGGAAUUACUGGGCGUAAAGCGCGUGUAGGCGGACUCUUAAGUCAGGGGUGAAAUCCCGAGGCUCAACCUCGGAACUGCAUUUGAUACUGCCUGGCUCGAGUCCGGGAGAGGUGAGCGGAAUUCCUAGUGUAGGGGUGAAAUUCGUAGAUAUCAGGAAGAACACCGGUGGCGAAGGCGGCCACCUGGUCGGUGACUGACGCUGAGACGCGAAAGCGUGAGGAGCAAACAGG